UUGGAGGGCAAGUCUGGUGCCAGCAGCCGCGGUAAUUCCAGCUCCAAUAGCGUAUAUUAAAGUUGUUGCAGUUAAAAAGCUCGUAGUUGAAUUUCGGGAUCAAUGUUUCGGUCAUGCCCUUGGUAUGUACUGAUAUUAUUGGUUUCUCACCUUCUAAAGAACCGUAAUGCCAUUAAUUUGGUGUCACGGGGAAUUAGGACUGUUACCUUGAAAAAAUUAGAGUGUUUAAAGCAGGCUCACGCUUGAAUACAUUAGCAUGGAAUAACGAAAUAGGACGUUCGAUCCUAUUUUGUUGGUUUCUAGGAUUGACGUAAUGAUUAAUAGGGAUAGUUGGGGGCAUUAGUAUUCAAUUGUCAGAGGUGAAAUUCUUGGAUUUAUUGAAGACUAACUACUGCGAAAGCAUUUGCCAAGGAUGUUUUCAUUAAUCAAGAACGAAAGUUAGGGGAUCGAAGACGAUCAGAUACCGUCGUAGUCUUAACCAUAAACUAUGCCGACUAGGGAUCGGAUGAUGUUAAUUUUUUAAUGACUCAUUCGGCGCCUUACGGGAAAC
rnacentral:rRNA from 1 species